rnacentral:rRNA from 1 species
UACGUAGGAGGCAAGCGUUGUCCGGAUUUAUUGGGCGUAAAGAGCGUGUAGGCGGCCAGGUAGGUCAGCUGUGAAAACUCGAGGCUCAACCUCGAGACGCCGGUUGAAACCAUCUGGCUAGAGUCCGGAAGAGGAGAGUGGAAUUCCUGGUGUAGCGGUGAAAUGCGCAGAUAUCAGGAAGAACACCCGUGGCUAAGGCGGCUCUCUAGUACGGUACUGACGCUGAGACGCGAAAGCGUGGGGAGCGAACAGG